AACAAGUAGUGAUAUUAUGUUUUUUUUGCAUAAGACUAAAAUGAGUUUAUUGUAAUUUCUACUUUAUCUUAAGGAUGGGCCACAAGUUAAAAAUCAAAAGUAAAAUUCAUCUGUAUUAUAUUCUUCACAGGGUACUUUACUUCAACACCUUAAUGUACAAAAUAGGCAACUUAACGAAUGAUUUUAAAAAAGAUAACGAUACUGUCUAUUGCUAGCAGAUGGGCUAUAAUUGAUAAGCUGAACGUCAGUUAUUGGUUGAAACACUAUCCGCUUCUUCACUUUUAAGAGGAACAUAAAAUGUUAGGGUAGAUUUCAUUCAGCUCAGACUUUAAUUAUCACGGUAAACAAACUCAUGAAAAUAUGGCGGCACUAUUUUAUGCCAGUGCUAGCUUUAUUUUUGCUGGACUAACACUCCAGUUAACUAGCGCAGAUCACAUUGCCUUUCAUGCACAUACAACAUUAAGUGGCAGCUAUCCUGAGGGAAAGGUUGUCAAAUUUCCGAACGUUCUUCUUAAUGACGGAAAAGGAUACAAACCUGGCUCUGGCUAUUUUACUGCACCCGUUUCUGGCGUCUACCAGUUCACAGCACAUGUUUGCCAUUCAGCAAAACGAACAUAUGGUAAUUGCCAUCAUGAAAGGGACUCAACAAAUUGCAGUCACCACGGGCUUUACAAAUCAUAUCUCUGCAUGUAAUUCUGUUACUGCUGUUGCAAAAGUUCAAAAGCAUGAAAAUGUAUAUAUUGUGUCAGCCUGGUACGGUAGUCACUUGCAGUCGAAUGAACACCGGUGGCCCUCGUUUAUGGGGUUUCUUUUAUAUAAAAUAUAAAUCAAUGUGUUCGACACAGGCAGUUUGAACUUGACGCAGCAAUGUGUUGUACAUAUACAGACAUUGGUAAAGAAAUGAUAUAUCUACGAAGAAAACUUCUCGUUUCUGAAGGAAAAUAUAUUGUGAAGUCUUAAAGUGUGUAUUGAACAGGAAAUAUAACGUUCAACUCCUCUUAUUUCCUUACUUUAAUACUGUUUAUAAAGUAUAUUAAAUGUCAGCAACCUAUAUCAGGGAUAUUUGAUAGCAUGUAUGUUACCAGUAUCAAUAUUUGAUUACAGGUCUUUUACCAGUGAAGGAUUUUCGUACUAAACAUAUUUUCUAAACCGUCCUUGAUUAGAAUUAUUACACUGUUACAUAAAUAAGCUUCUAAAACAUAAAACAUGUCAUACGUGUUACUUCCACACCACUCAGUUUAGAACAUUGAGUAAAAAUAUUCAGUAAUUAGACAAUCACUCAGUUUACCUAAAUGUGUGGAAUUCAAAUGAUUCAGAGUUUGUUAAAGUUCCUGGUAACUUAGAAUCUUGGAAAACACUCAUUAUUUCUACGAUCUAUUUCAGCUAAAACCGGUGCAAGCGGUGGGGGUGGGGGGCUGAAAAGGUGUUGCACAAUUCCUUGCCUCUCGUGAACGGACUAAAGAAAACCGAUUCAUCUAUAAUGUUGCUUCAUAGCGAUGAAAGCUUCGAAAGGAUCAUUUCGCAAAUUUCAUUUGAUAUAAUUUUUUUGAGAAGUAUUAAAGUAAAUUAGUUAAUUCUAGAAAUAUACAGGUAAAUGUUCUUUACAGAUGUAAUGUCACACGAGUUAACGUCCCGAAUGAGAGUUAACGCAGCCAAGAAAAGUAAUCUCCCUCGAAUACCAAUACGUUAAACCGUUGUAUCAAGACGUUUUUUAAAUUCGAUAUAACCAAACGAUUAGGAAAACACUAACAAACAGCCAGUGUUAAGAUGAAAUGAAUAACAAGGUCUGCUCUUAUUCAGAUUUAAAAUAAUCUACUGAAUCAAUAAAAUUUUAAUGGCUGCAAUGACCUUUUUCCUUAUCGUUUCAAUAAAAAAUAAACACCUUUGGAAAUCAGAAAAAAAAAGAUUUUUCAAAAUGUUCUGCAUAUAAAGCAAUGUUUAAUGUCUUGUAAACUAGUCUCAUGUUUCGUUACAGAAUAAUUACAGUAAUACAACUCUCUGUAUAAAGUUGUACACUUGAUGUCUAGUGUGUUACUAUCACCAAAAGCUUACAAAACACGUAAUAACUUUUAAAAAGGUUUUAUUAACAUUUUCUUCCUUUUUUAACCAAACCAAUGUCAAUAUAUAGAAAAGAGCAUUAACUAUUAUUGCUUACAAUAAUUUACAAAGGUACAUUGCGUCAUAUACUCAAACAGACAAACAAAAAGUUUGGCUGCGUCUUUCAGAUUACUAUCUAUCUACAGCAUAGUAAACAAAACAGUCCAAUACUUUGUCACUACAGCCGGGGUGGGGGUGGGGGGGGGCAGUUAGGUGUCUACGCAAAAUGUUUCUUAUAUGUUUUUUUAAAUUAAUAUUUUAUGGCAAUACAUGUAUACCUACUUUCAUUAACAAGUGUUACUGAUGCCAGGUUUGACUAACGUUUAUAAUUAUUCACAUUUAAAAUGGGUGGGGUAAUUUGAUAUGUGAUCAGCCAGGAACACAAUUUCCAUUAUUUUUUAAAAAAUAGUUAAACUUUUUACCUAAAACUUUCAUGAAAAAAAUGAUUAUGCAAUGGACAUUUACACAAUAUGUGUUGCAUUUUAAAUUGCCUUGAAUACUUUUUUCAAUACAGAGCCACAAAGUGGCCUGAUCAAAUUUACUAAUUUUCAAUGGACGAACUUCACCAGAAAGUUAAAACAUUUUUAUUAAGUGAGAUAUUCAGGUGUUAUUUUCUGCAGAUAUUGUAAACUAAACAAACAUUUAAAUGACUGUAUAUCAAUACACUCUGAUUAAUAUUGGAAGACUGGUACACUCUCAAACAAAAAGUGGAUGGGGUAAAUAAACAUUCAAAGCAACCCUAUAAAAACGGUUAUUAUGGUCAUUGCUACAACAGAACACUGCUAGUUCUUUUUUAAAGACGCUAUACUCAAACAUAUAGAGACGGACUAAAGUCUGUUAGCCUGCGGGUUUUGAAGAACGGUACGCCUGCCUACACAUAGGCAAUUCACCAUGCAUAUGUCUGUUACAACGUGUGCACAUGCAAUAUGAAAACAAUUCUGGAAAAUAAAAUCCACAAGUAUGCAAACUUCUUUAUUUUAUGUUUUCCAGUGAAUUAUAGAGUUUUCUCAGUAAAAUAAAAGUGAUAAUCCACAGUUUUGAAACAGUAGAUUAUCAUUUUUAUUUUUCACUGUUUUUGCCGAACUAGUUCCGGUCCUCCGUCGCAAUUGAAGUCAAAUUGUAUACCGAGCGUUAUAAAUACCGGGGACGAUAAUGAAGAUGACGUCGUUAAAUUGACGUCAUUUGUGUUAUGCUUUCUGUUGAUAUUUCCCGCGAUUUUCGACAUUUUAUAAAUUACGCAACAAAAGUAGAGUUUUACACAUGAAAUAAAAAGAAAAUUUGUUCGUGUCAGUGAAAUAUCAAUUUUAUUUCACUCGUGAGCACCAAAAAAUGUCAUUUUCACUCAUGGCUACGCCACUCGUGAAAAUAUCAGUUUUUGAUGCUCACUUGUGAAAUAAAAUUGAUAUUUCACUGAAACAAACAAAUAUCCUCUAUUUAUUCAGUUUCGUGAAUAGUCUAAACAAAAUUAGAACCUUGAAUAUUAACAGCAUGUGUCAACAAUUUUGACAGAUAAAACAAAGCUUUUAACGCUUUAAAUAUUCAUUUAAUGAAAGCCUCCUUUUUAUACUUAGUCUAGUAAUUGCAGCAAUCUAUCUAAACGUUUAUUUUUGAAUUUCUGUAGAAGCAUAUAGCGGAUGUUAAUAUCUCCAUUUACAGACAACGUUAAUAAAGGGUAACUAUAAUAUCAACUACACUUUGUGGAAGUUACGAGAUAUCUAUUCAUGAAUUGCCAAUAACAACGCUGAAUUAGUAAAUGAAAGAGCUAUGACGUACACCACACAAACUGUCACAGGUUUAGCCGUCCAAUUGCUCUACGGAAACUAUUUCGUGUUAGUCUUUAUAAAAGACAUGCAAUCAAUUCUAUGAAUGAAAUAAAAUGAAAAUGUAAAUGUUUAAGCAGUUAGUACGUAAAACUGUUUUCGCCAACUGAAAUAUGCACUACGUCAUACAUUAGACCUUUAC